UCAGACAAGGGAUUAAGGUUACAGGAGGGUCUGGGUUUUAGUCUAAGAACAAAGGGAAGCAGUGGGCUUUUCGAAGCGAAGGAGUAAUGGUCUAUACUCACUUAACUAUGCAGGGGAGCUUAGAUUACAGGAAUUUAGAAAUCAAGAGGUUUUAAAAACGACCCUGUGAAUUUUAGUUUAAAUAUCACAUAAACCUGAACUCCUAGGAAGUCAGCGAUGUCUUUAAAUUCACAGAGAUUGUGUAGGCAGAGCCAGGACAGUCCAGUUCCGGCCCCGAGCUGGUGUUCUCUCUGUUCUAGUGCUAGGCGUGCCGUGUAAGUUUCCACGUGUGAGGACUUUCGAGUCUUCUGUUUCUGAGCUAGAGAUGAUCCACGAGGAUGGGUGUCGUCAUCGGGUUCACGGAAGCCCUUGCUGGGGAACAUCAAUAUCAGGAUUGGGUCCAAACGGAAGGGGACAUUUCUGCAAGCUUCAGCGGCCACGCCCGUGCUGCCGGCAGCAGGUGCUGAACUUUGAAUUGCUGUGACCAGAAUCUGAAAGCGAAAUACCAGAAUAAGGAACGUGUGCUGUGAAGAAAUGGAAAUGGUGUGGAAAUACUUCUUUCCCAGAAGUCCCAGCUGCCGGGGCAUCCCAGCAGAGGGCAUCAAAGGUUACGAGCACCUAUAGACCUCAGGAUUGUUUUGGAAGAAUCAUUUUACCAGGCUUGGUAAUGCUAGCCUGGGCAGCAGUGAUUGCCAGGCCAACAUGAGGUGGGAUGGAGACAGAAGAGGGAGAAGGAACCAGGGCCUUUGCUACCUGCCCCUGCUGUCACGAUGUUUCCUCCAAGCACUUGAAGCCGCACGACCUUGGAUUGAACCCUCUGAAACCAUGAGCCACAAUAAAGCAUGACUCCUUUGUUUCUUGAAGGCAUGUUGGUCAUAGCAACCAAAGAACCAAGAGGACCAUCCCUUUGAAUCUGGGAUGGCUGCGGGGGCUUGCUUUCUAGCUAGCAGAAUGUAGAAUAUAAUUAAUUCAAGGGAUACUACCUGACUCCCAAGGACAGGCCAGAAUAGGCCAUGAGCCUGGUUCCCGUCUGAUUCUUGUCCUGGGGGAUGCCAGCUGCCAGGUUUGUCAUGUUGGAAGGGCUGAAUUUCCAGAAAGCCAACUGCCAGUGUCACCUGUCAGCUAUACAAGUGAGUCAUUUUGGAUGUCUAGACCAGUCAAAUGUUCAAAUGACAACAGCUGCAGUUGACAUCUGAUUGCAGCUAAUUUGGAGACUUGAAGAAAGAAUCGUUGCAACAUCAUGGGCAAAACUAAAGUUUGGUUCACUCAAAGAGCAACGUUUAACCAGAACAAUGGACUGACUAACGACUAUGUGGUGUUCAUGUGUCAAUAAAGAGGUAGUGUGGUCUUUGCCUUUAA